rnacentral:rRNA from 1 species
GACGAACGCUGGCGGCGUGCUUAACACAUGCAAGUCGAACGGAAAGGCCCUGCUUUUGUGGGGUGCUCGAGUGGCGAACGGGUGAGUAACACGUGAGUAACCUGCCCUUGACUUUGGGAUAACUUCAGGAAACUGGGGCUAAUACCGGAUAGGAGCUCCUGCUGCAUGGUGGGGGUUGGAAAGUUUCGGCGGUUGGGGAUGGACUCGCGGCUUAUCAGCUUGUUGGUGGGGUAGUGGCUUACCAAGGCUUUGACGGGUAGCCGGCCUGAGAGGGUGACCGGCCACAUUGGGACUGAGAUACGGCCCAGACUCCUACGGGAGGCAGCAGUGGGGAGUAUUGCACAAUGGGCGGAAGCCUGAUGCAGAAACGCCGCGUGCGGGAUGACGGCCUUCGGGUUGUAAACCGCUUUCGCCUGUGACGAAGCGUGAGUGACGGUAAUGGGUAAAGAAGCUCCGGCUAACUACGUG